UAAGGGUCCUCCUCCCUUCAAUUGUGACAUCACAGUUGGUUGCUGUGGAAAUGAUUGUCCUGUGACAAAGGAUUGUGACUUAAGUAGAAGCAGCAAAUAUCUCUUAAGAAAUAAAGAUUCUGUGAUCCAACAAAUACCCUUGGUAAUAAAAGGCAGUCAAGGCAAUUCACCAUAAGGAAAGAGUGUACAAGACGGAAAAAUACAACAGAGAAAGAUAACAGGCCGACUCACGUGAAUAUAAAACGAGCGGGAAGGGCAGUUGGCUUAGAAAAUUCCCUUGCCAGCUACUUUUUUAAGCCCAAAUUGGAUCACAGAACUGUGAUGUACAAAUGGUGUUGUGAUUAUUGGUUGCCAUGAGCCAAAUGAACCAUGCAGAAUGCUAAUUGGGCAGGAAACCAGCUUUCAGGUACUCCAGAUUGAAGACGAAACAAAGGAGACCAAAAGGACUGUCUGAAAACCGUGUGAAUGCAUUCACGCUGAUAAAUUUUUUAAAAAUAAUAAAUUCUUUUCAAUUACUAGAG
rnacentral:lncRNA from 10 species